rnacentral:rRNA from 1 species
CCUACGGGGGGCUGCAGUAGGGAAUCUUCGGCAAUGGACGGAAGUCUGACCGAGCAACGCCGCGUGAGUGAAGAAGGUUUUCGGAUCGUAAAGCUCUGUUGUAAGAGAAGAACGAGUGUGAGAGUGGAAAGUUCACACUGUGACGGUAUCUUACCAGAAAGGGACGGCUAACUACGUGCCAGCAGCCGCGGUAAUACGUAGGUCCCGAGCGUUGUCCGGAUUUAUUGGGCGUAAAGCGAGCGCAGGCGGUUAGAUAAGUCUGAAGUUAAAGGCUGUGGCUUAACCAUAGUACGCUUUGGAAACUGUUUAACUUGAGUGCAAGAGGGGAGAGUGGAAUUCCAUGUGUAGCGGUGAAAUGCGUAGAUAUAUGGAGGAACACCGGUGGCGAAAGCGGCUCUCUGGCUUGUAACUGACGCUGAGGCUCGAAAGCGUGGGGAGCAAACAGGAUUAGAUACCCGGGUAGUC